UGGUAAAAUUGGACAGGUACAUGCAAGAAAAUGACAGUAAACCACCAACUUGCACCACACAAGAAUAAAUUCAAAAUGAAUUA